rnacentral:rRNA from 1 species
AUACGGAGGGUGCAAGCGUUACUCGGAAUCACUGGGCGUAAAGGACGCGUAGGCGGGAUGCCAAGUCUGAUGUGAAAUCCUAUGGCUCAGCCAUAGAACUGCAUUGGAAACUGGUAACCUAGAGUAUGGGAGGGGGAGAUGGAAUUAGUGGUGUAGGGGUAAAAUCCGUAGAUAUCGCUAGGAAUACCGAAAGCGAAGGCGAUCUCCUGGAACAUUACUGACGCUAAGGCGUGAAAGCGUGGGGAGCAAACAGGAUUAGAAACCCCAGUAGUCC